UCAUUAGAUGGCUGAAAGAUAAGUAAUGGUCUCUUAAACCAAUCUAUAGUAAUUAACGCCUACUUCUAAUGA
rnacentral:tRNA from 1 species